rnacentral:rRNA from 1 species
AACGAACGCUGGCGGCGUGCUUAACACAUGCAAGUCGAACGCGAAAGGGGCUUCGGUCCUGAGUAGAGUGGCGCACGGGUGAGUAACGCGUAGAUAACCUGUCCUGGUGUCUGGAAUAACGUCUCGAAAGGGGCACUAAUACCGGAUAUUCUUGCUUUCUUCAAGGUAUGCAAGGAAAGGUGGCCUCUGGAACAAGCUACUGCACGAGGAGGGGUCUGCGUACCAUUAGCUAGUAGGUGGGGUAAUGGCCUACCUAGGCGACGAUGGUUAGCGGGUAUGAGAAGAUGAACCGCCACACUGGCACUGGAAUACGGGCCAGACUCCUACGGGAGGCAGCAGUGAGGAAUAUUGCGCAAUGGGGGCAACCCUGACGCAGCGACGCCGCGUGAGUGAGGAAGGCCUUCGGGUCGUAAAGCUCUGUCAAGAGGGAAGAAGUGCAUGGUGGUUAAUAUCUGUCAUGUUUGACGGUACCUCUAAAGGAAGCACCGGCUAACUCCGUGCCAGCCGCCGCGGUAAUAC